UUCAAAGUCUCUCCCACCCCGCCGCCUCCACUACCCAGCAGGGGGAAAAAAAGAGAAGAAGAAAGAAAGAAAGAAACGGGAAGAAAGUAGUUGCGCCGGGCUCUCUCGCGGGGCCGCGCGCGGAGCUGCUCGAUUUUCCUCUCUAGGCAGAAGGGCCUUUCUUGCCCCUUCCCCCUGGCGGCUUGGGUCUAAUGUGCAAACUCCUCCUCCAAACCUUAGACCCUUCCAGCUCUAGAUCUCUCCCCACCUCCUAUCAAGCCCACCCGUCACUCCUUCCCCCACCCCACAACGCGAACACGCCCAAGGACAAUCACUCCCCAGCGAACUCGCUGCUCUCAGGGACCAGUACCCAGGACGCUGUGCGGGAGGUCAAGGACAGCGGAGUCAAGAGCCGGCGUCAGGUUAAAAAAAUCCAAAUUCCUACGACUUGUUUGAGAAUUUGGUCAAACACCGAGAAGCACGGGCACUGCGCCUACCAGAUCAGGCCGAACCCGACGCAGAGCAAGGCUGCGGGGUCCGAGCGGAGUAGCCUCAGAGUGAUGUCUGUGGGUGGAGCCUCCCAACUGGUUACAAGCCACAUCCAGAAUUCAAGGCUGGGGGAACCUGGAAAAGGUCACUUCAUCCAUCCUCCUGACCUUGAGACCAGUCCUCACUCUCCACUGGCAAGUUAGGGUAAGCAGGGAGUCCAUGGUUCAGAUGAGAAUGGAAUCAUAAUUGGCAGCAGAUUCGAAGUAUGAAUCACUGGUCCACACUGCAUAUCUCAAAUUGGAAAACUGGCGACAAUGUCGAAUCAAUGAAUGAAUGACUUAUGUUCUUUCAGAUGGGAAAGUGCCCGAGAUUCCUCUGAUCAAAUCCCCCAUUUUACAGAGGAAGUUAUUUAGAGGCUCAUCAGUGAGAGUGUGGAAAUCAAACUCUUGAUUCCCAGGAUGCUGUUCUUAGUCUCCUCUCUAUACAACUCUCAGGAAAUAAACGUAUCUCAUGCUUUUCUUCUGGAAAUGUUUUCCAUUUUCCUCUAAUUCGUUCCUCACCUUUUCUUCUUUCCUUUAUUUCAUAACUUGCUUCAACUUAGUUUAAUAUUUCAUUUCCUUUGUUACCAUUGUGCACCACUGACAAAACGAGAGAAAAUUAACUUCACAUGCAGAAGGAAAGGUUGCAGUAGGAACAAGAAAAGACUUUUAAUCACAGGAGAGGUCAAAGGACAACUUUAAUAGUGGAAUAGAUACUUUCCCAUUGGUUAGUCCUUUCUGAAGAGAGGACUAAUUAGAUGAAUUCUAUUUUUCAAUAAUGUUAUAGAUAACCUUUUCAGACUUUUCAGAGUGAAUCUUUUUUUCCCAAAAUUAUUCUUCUUGCUUUUUAAAGUCUUCUUUCCUUUAUAUUAAAGAUGGCAAAGGAUCUA